rnacentral:rRNA from 1 species
GAUGAACGCUGGCGGCGUGCCUCAAACAUGCAAGUCGAGCGGGGCUAUGUAAUACCGCAAGGUAGAACAUAGCCUAGCGGCGAACGGGUGAGUAACACGUGGGUAACCUGCCUGGAAGACAGGGAUAACGAUUCGAAAGGGUCGCUAAUACCUGAUAAUAUCCUUUCAUCGCAUGGUGAUAGGAAGAAAGGGGAAACCCGCUUUCAGAUGGGCCCGCGUCCCAUCAGCUAGUUGGUAAGGUAAAGGCUUACCAAGGCGACGACGGGUAGCCGGGUCUGAGAGGAUGUACGGCCACACUGGGACUGAGAUACGGCCCAGACUCCUACGGGAGGCAGCAGUUGGGAAUCUUAGGCAAUGGACGAAAGUCUGACCUAGCGACGCCGCGUGAGGGAAGAAGGCCUUCGGGUUGUAAACCUCUGUCAUGGGGAAGAAGUAAGUGACGGUACCCCAAGAGGAAGCCCUGCUAACUACGUG